rnacentral:rRNA from 1 species
CCGUAACGAUGUCUACUUGGAGGUUGUGGCCUUGAGCCGUGGCUUUCGGAGCUAACGCGUUAAGUAGACCGCCUGGGGAGUACGGUCGCAAGAUUAAAACUCAAAUGAAUUGACGGGGGCCCGCACAAGCGGUGGAGCAUGUGGUUUAAUUCGAUGCAACGCGAAGAACCUUACCUACUCUUGACAUCCAGAGAACUUUUCAGAGAUGAAUUGGUGCCUUCGGGAACUCUGAGACAGGUGCUGCAUGGCUGUCGUCAGCUCGUGUUGUGAAAUGUUGGGUUAAGUCCCGCAACGAGCGCAACCCUUAUCCUUGUUUGCCAGCGAGUAAUGUCGGGAACUCCAGGGAGACUGCCGGUGAUAAACCGGAGGAAGGUGGGGACGACGUCAAGUCAUCAUGGCCCUUACGAGUAGGGCUACACACGUGCUACAAUGGCGCAUACAGAGGGCAGCAAGCUAGCGAUAGUGAGCGAAUCCCAAAAAGUGCGUCGUAGUCCGGAUUGGAGUCUGCAACUCGACUCCAUGAAGUCGGAAUCGCUAGUAAUCGUGGAUCAGAAUGCCACGGUGAAUACGUUCCCGGGCCUUGUACACACCGCCCGUCACACCAUGGGAGUGGGCUGCAAAAGAAGUAGGUAGUUUAACCUUCGGGGGGACGCUUACCACUUUGUGGUUCAUGACUGGGGUGAAGUCGUAACAAGGUAGCGCUAGGGGAACCUGGCGCUGGAUCACCUCCUUA